rnacentral:sRNA from 1 species
ACCCCAAGGUUGGUUAAUGCUACACCAACUGGUUGGACAUAAUCCUGCGGAGUAAAACAUGAGCGAUAAAAUUAUUCACCUGACCGAC